rnacentral:sRNA from 1 species
UGUGAGUUUCUGGUAAAUCGAAUGUGCCGUCUUGAAAGCCUCAUGCAGUCCUUGAAGAUGAACAUCUUUCGGCUGCAAACUGAAAAGGAUUUGAAUCCUCAGAAAACAGCUUUUCUGAAAGAUCGACUGAAUGCAAUACAGGAAGAGCAUUCUAAGGACCUGAAGCUGUUGCAUCUCGAAGUUAUGAAUUUGCGCCAGCGACUGAGAGCUAUAAAAGAGGAAGAAGACAAGGCACAGGAUGAGGUGCAAAGGUUGACUGCCACUCUGGAGAUUGCCUCACAAACAAAGAAGAAUGCAGCCAUUAUUGAAGAGGAACUGAAGACCACAAAACGUAAAAUGAACCUUAAAAUUCAAGAGCUUCUAGAGAUGACCUCAUUUCCAAGUUGGUUGAAGAAAAUAAGAACCUGCAGAUAUCUUUCAACAAGGAACAUGAAGAAAAUGCAUAUUUGAGGUCUGAAAUAAUGUCUCUUCAUGAAGCAUCAGAAAAAGCACAAGUUUUGAAUGACCAAUUGACUAAAAAGUGUUCAGAGUUGAGCUGCAUGCUUCAGACUGUUACUAUGGAAAAAGCCAGAAUCAUUGCUGACCAUCAGGCCAUUCUGCAGGUAGAGCAGAAAAUGAUGACGCAGACAUUUCAAGAACAAAACUUAUUGCUGGAUGCAGCCCAUGCCAGUAUCACAAAUGAACUACAGACUGUUCAGAAUGAGAAAACC